GUUUUUUUAAGAUUUUCUGUACAUAAUGUUUCAAGAGCCGUUCUGGAAACAUAAUCACAGAAAGAACCAUUUUAUAGAAAGAGAACCAAUUUCAAUUCCACUUACAGUUGUAUUCCUUUAGUUUAAGCCCUUAACCCUCCCAUAAACUGUAAUGUCCAUAAACUGUAUGUCCAGAAAAGUGAUAGAACGGACCCCAGGAAUCCUUUUUGCCUCUAAUCACACCAGACUCCACCCCUAACCUCCAUUCUUCCUUGUUCCCCAGCUCCAGGCAAACCAGGAUUCAUGCCUAAAGCCAAGGAAGGCUCUUCUAGAACUUCAUGCCUGGCAGCUUUUGAGCUUGCUGUUUCGUGUGCCUGGCAUGACCUUCCCUCUCUUCCCGGUUUUUUGUUUGUUUUGGUUGGUUAUUUUAUUUUCAGAAUAUAUAUAUCUCCUUUCAAUUUGCUUUUGCUUUGCUUUCUCUAUCAUGAAUUUCUCUCUCUCUCUCUCUCUCAUCAUAGAUAUAUGUAUAUAUUAUCAGCAAAUAUUCAUCUAUGGUCAUGUUGUUAUUCACCUAUGUUUUUUCUACUUCAAUACAAACACCUAAACAAAUUUCUACAGAAAUGGAAAUAAUACAAGCUGAUUUGAUAGUUUUUUUUAGAAUAACAUUUUUCUUCUUUUUAGGUUUAAGUCCCAUAACUUCAAAAUUACCCAACAUCCUCCUCCCUCUCCACUCCAGCCUGCUUUUUAAUUGCUCUGCACUUUCUAGUUACCUCUCAGUUCUUCAAAACCCAGGCAAUGUCACUCUUGCUCAGUCUGAUCUCUGAGGCAGGUUUCACUCACCCCGGAGGUCCUUGACUCCUUCUGCCUGUCCUCCCUGCAGCCCUGUCCCACAUGAUUAUGGUCCUCGGCACAUAGGUCCAUCUUCCCAACUGGUUAUGACUACAUCAGUGACAAGAGCUGGGUCUUGUUUGUCCUUGAACCUCUCGAAUCUAGAAAUAGUAACCGGCCCACAGUUAUUUCUUUAAAAGUAUUCAUGGUGGGCUGGGGAUGUGGCUCAAGUGGUAGCGUGCUCGCCUGGCAUGCGUGCGGCCCAGGUUCGAUCCUCAGCACCACAUACAAACAAAGAUGUUGUGUCUGCCGAAAACUGAAAAAUAAAUAUUAAAAAUUCUCUCUCUCUCUCUCCCCCUCUCUUUCUCACUCUCUCUUUAAAAAAAAAAAAAGUAUUCAUGGAAUGAAGGAAUUCUUUACUGCCAAUGGGUUGGUGGUAGAGAAAGUAUGGAAAUGGUAAGAUUUAAAAGGAGCUAUAUGCGAGGAGAAGAGGCUGGGUUGCUGAAGGCAAUUUCCUCUAGCUUUGCAAACAGCCAGUCCUGCUGAGAGGCACCCUAAGGUCCUCCUUUAUUAACAUCUCUUACAAGGUAGCACUAAUUGGCUUCUGUAGCUUAAAAUCUAUUGGCACAGUUGUUACAUUUGCCAAAGUAGUGUUUAAUGACUUGUAUCUCACACAAUAACAUGGGGCAAAUUUAAAAACUCAAAUUUGCUUUGGUUUUGUAUCCCUUACCAUCUGUUGGUUCCCGAUCCUGAUCCUGGAUUACCUCAUUCAUUUUUAUGUUAAUCAUUACCAACAAUAAACAGUUUGGAAAAGGACACGGGAAACUCAUGUAAAGGAGGAUGUUUUGACAGAGUAUUGUUUUCUUCUAAGCAAUCCUAGAAAACAGAAAGGCAUCAGGAAGCUGUUCUACUGAGAAAGACCCCCUUCCACUUGACCAUGAGUCAAAAAAGGAGGAAAAAUUCCUUAGAGAAACUAAGUCCCAGGUUUCAUUUGCCAGUAAAUUUCCUGGGUGCUCAAGACUCAGGUCCAAAGCUGAAAGCAGAAACAACUGUUCCCCAGCCCAGCAAUGGGUCCCACAGGAUGGCCACCUCAGAUACUGGUAAACCAUUAGCUGCU
rnacentral:lncRNA from 1 species